rnacentral:tRNA from 1 species
GCCAGAUAGGACAAGCGGUUAAGUCACGGUCUUCAUACGGCUUGAGGGGAUGGUUCGACUCCAUCAUCUGGCACCA